GACGAACGCUGGCGGCGUGCUUAACACAUGCAAGUCGAACGCUGAAGCUUGGUGCUUGCUCUGGGUGCAUGAGUGGCGAACGGGUGAGUAAUACGUGAGUAACCUGCCCUUGACUCUGGGAUAAGCCUGGGAAACUGGGUCUAAUACUGGAUACGACAUUCCACUGCAUGGUGGUGUGUGGAAAGGGGUUUACUGGUUUUGGAUGGGCUCACGGCCUAUCAGCUUGUUGGUGGGGUAAGGGCCUACCAAGGCGACGACGGGUAGCCGGCCUGAGAGGGUGGCCGGCCACACGAGGACUGAGAGACGGCGCAGACUCCUACGGGAGGCAGCAGGGGGGAGUAUUGCACAAUGGGGGGAAGUCUGAGGCAGCGAUGCCGCGUGAGUGAUGACGGCCUUCGGGUGGUAAACCUCUUUGAGAACGGAAGAAGCGAGAGUGACGGUACGUGCAGAAGAAGCGCCGGCUAACUACGUG
rnacentral:rRNA from 1 species